CAGGACGAACGCUGGCGGCGUGCCUAACACAUGCAACUCGAACGGAACUGUUUUGAAAGAUUUCUUCGGAAUGAAUUUGAUUUAGUUUAGUGGCGGACGGGUGAGUAACGCGUGAGUAACCUGCCUUCAAGAGGGGGAUAACAUUCUGAAAAGAAUGCUAAUACCGCAUGACAUAUCGGAACCACAUGGUUCUGAUAUCAAAGAUUUUAUCGCUUGAAGAUGGACUCGCGUCCGAUUAGUUAGUUGGUGAGGUAACGGCUCACCAAGACCGCGAUCGGUAGCCGGACUGAGAGGUUGAACGGCCACAUUGGGACUGAGACACGGCCCAGACUCCUACGGGAGGCAGCAGUGGGGGAUAUUGCGCAAUGGGGGCAACCCUGACGCAGCAACGCCGCGUGAAGGAUGAAGGUUUUCGGAUUGUAAACUUCUUUUAUUAAGGACGAAAAAUGACGGUACUUAAUGAAUAAGCUCCGGCUAACUACGUGCCAGCAGCCGCGGUAAUACGUAGGGAGCAAGCGUUGUCCGGAUUUACUGGGUGUAAAGGGUGCGUAGGCGGCUUUGCAAGUCAGAUGUGAAAUCUAUGGGCUCAACCCAUAAACUGCAUUUGAAACUGUAGAGCUUGAGUGAAGUAGAGGCAGGCGGAAUUCCCCGUGUAGCGGUGAAACGCGUAGAGAUGGGGAGGAACACCAGUGGCGAAGGCGGCCUGCUGGGCUUUAACUGACGCUGAGGCACGAAAGCGUGGGUAGCAAACAGGAUUAGAUACCCUGGUAGUCCACGCUGUAAACGAUGAUUACUAGGUGUGGGGGGUCUGACCCCUUCCGUGCCGGAGUUAACACAAUAAGUAAUCCACCUGGGGAGUACGGCCGCAAGGUUGAAACUCAAAUGAAUUGACGG
rnacentral:rRNA from 1 species